AACGAACGCUGGCGGCAUGCCUAACACAUGCAAGUCGAACGAGACCUUCGGGUCUAGUGGCGCACGGGUGCGUAACGCGUGGGAACCUGCCCUUAGGUUCGGAAUAACUCCCCGAAAGGGGUGCUAAUACCGGAUAAUGUCUUCGGACCAAAGAUUUAUCGCCUUUGGAUGGGCCCGCGUUGGAUUAGCUAGUUGGUAGGGUAAAAGCCUACCAAGGCGACGAUCCAUAGCUGGUCUGAGAGGAUGAUCAGCCACACUGGGACUGAGACACGGCCCAGUCUCCUACGGGAGGCAGCAGUGGGGAAUAUUGGACAAUGGGCGAAAGCCUGAUCCAGCAAUGCCGCGUGAGUGAUGAAGGCCUUAGGGUUGUAAAGCUCUUUUACCCGGGAUGAUAAUGACAGUACCGGGAGAAUAAGCGCCGGCUAACUCCGUG
rnacentral:rRNA from 1 species